GACAGAGGUGGCAAGCGUUGUUCGGAUUUACUGGGCGUAAAGAGUGCGUAGGUGGUGAGGUAAGACCUGUGGGAAAGACCUGGGCUUAACCCAGGAAGGUCGCAGGUGACUGCCUCGCUUGAGGACGGGAGAGGAGAGCGGAAUUCCCGGUGUAGCGGUGAAAUGCGUAGAGAUCGGGAAGAAGGCCGGUGGCGACGGCGGCUCGCUGGGCAGUGGCUGACGCUGAGGCGCGACAGCGUGGGGAGCAAACAGG
rnacentral:rRNA from 1 species